rnacentral:rRNA from 1 species
GACGAACGCUGGCGGCGUGCUUAACACAUGCAAGUCGAACGGAAAGGCCCUGCUUUUGUGGGGUGCUCGAGUGGCGAACGGGUGAGUAACACGUGAGUAACCUGCCCUUGACUUUGGGAUAACUUCAGGAAACUGGGGCUAAUACCGGAUAGGAGCUCCUGCUGCAUGGUGGGGGUUGGAAAGUUUCGGCGGUUGGGGAUGGACUCGCGGCUUAUCAGCUUGUUGGUGGGGUAGUGGCUUACCAAGGCUUUGACGGGUAGCCGUCCUGAGAGGGUGACCGGCCACAUUGGGACUGAGAUAGGGACCAGACUCCUACGGGAGGGAGCAGUAGGGGUGAUUACAUAAGGGGCGGAAGCCUGAUGCAGCAGCGCCGCGUGCGGGAUAACGGCCUUCGGGUUGGAAACCGCUUUCGCCUGGGACGAAGCGUGAGUGACGGUAAUGUGUAAAGAAGCACCGGCUAACUACGUG